AAAAACCAUAGAAACAUUGAAUAUAAGGAAGACUGCAUCGUAUACUUUAAAUUUCCGCAGUAAUAUUGCAGAAAUGGCUACGACCAAAAACGGACGACUGGAUUUUAUAUCUGAUUCCAGUGAAGAUAAUUUCAAGUUACACUUAUGACCAUCAUCAAAGAUUAAUGAAUGUAUUCCCUCAGAUAUCAAGGAGUGAAAAACAGAUUGAUUCUGAAAAAGAAUGCAUUAAAAUAAAAUUACUAUCAAUGA